rnacentral:rRNA from 1 species
CCCAUAACUGCGAGAUCAUCAUUUCAGUUAAAUCCGGUGGAUUGAUGGAUGCGCGAUUAGCUAGGGUGAGGUCGGCCCACAGGCUACGGUCUAGGGUCUGAGAGUUAUCCCCCACUGGUAGAGACACGCCAGACUCACGGGAGGGCAGUAAGAUAUUGGUAUGGGCGCGCCUGAACGCCAUGCCGUGAAGGAACGGCCCUGGGUUGUACUUCUUUUACGGGAAAGCCACCGGGUGUAUCGGCUGAUGGCCGUAAGAAAGCAUCGUAACUCCGCCAGCAGCCGGUAAUAGAGGAUGCGCGUUAUCGAUUCAUUGUUUAAAGUGCGCAGGGAGUGAUAUCAGUGGUAAGCCUACCUUAACUGGAACUGCCUGACUG